rnacentral:rRNA from 1 species
AUUGAACGCUGGCGGCAUGCCUUACACAUGCAAGUCGAACGGCAGCACGGGUGCUUGCACCUGGUGGCGAGUGGCGAACGGGUGAGUAAUACAUCGGAACAUGUCCUGUAGUGGGGGAUAGCCCGGCGAAAGCCGGAUUAAUACCGCAUACGAUCCACGGCUGAAAGCGGGGGACCUUCGGGCCUCGCGCUAUAGGGUUGGCCGAUGGCUGAUUAGCUAGUUGGUGGGGUAAAGGCCUACCAAGGCGACGAUCAGUAGCUGGUCUGAGAGGACGACCAGCCACACUGGGACUGAGACACGGCCCAGACUCCUACGGGAGGCAGCAGUGGGGAAUGUUGGACAAUGGGCGAAAGCCUGAUCCAGCAAUGCCGCGUGUGUGAAGAAGGCCUUCGGGUUGUAAAGCACUUUUGUCCGGAAAGAAAUCCUUGGCUCUAAUACAGUCGGGGGAUGACGGUACCGGAAGAAUAAGCACCGGCUAACUACGUG